rnacentral:rRNA from 1 species
GACGAACGCUGGCGGCGUGCUUAACACAUGCAUGUCGAGCGAUGAAGUUCCUUCGGGAAUGGAUUAGCGGCGGACGGGUGAGUAACACGUGGGUAACCUGCCUCAUAGAGGGGAAUAGCCUUUCGAAAGGAAGAUUAAUACCGCAUAAGAUUGUAGUUUCGCAUGAAGCAGCAAUUAAAGGAGUAAUCCGCUAUGAGAUGGACCCGCGUCGCAUUAGCUAGUUGGUGAGGUAACGGCUCACCAAGGCGACGAUGCGUAGCCGACCUGAGAGGGUGAUCGGCCACAUUGGGACUGAGACACGGCCCAGACUCCUACGGGAGGCAGCAGUGGGGAAUAUUGCACAAUGGGGGAAACCCUGAUGCAGCAACGCCGCGUGAGUGAUGACGGUCUUCGGAUUGUAAAACUCUGUCUUCAGGGACGAUAAUGACGGUACCUGAGGAGGAAGCCACGGCUAACUACGUGCCAGCCGCCGCAGUAA